rnacentral:rRNA from 1 species
ACAUGCCUACAACAUAGUGUUAAUGCACCAAAUCCCAUUAGAACUCUGUUAUUAAGCGUGCUCAGGCUAGAGUACUACUGGGAUGGGUGACCGCCUAGGAACUCCUAAUGUUUUACAUGUC